GGUCUGGGCUACCGGCGCGGCGUAGUGGAUGCAGCAUCCUAGUUGAGGACGCCCCGCUGGAGCCAGUGACCUUCAGGGACGUGGCCAUCUACUUCUCAAGGGAGGAGUGGGCGUGUCUGGAACCCAGCCAGAGGACCCUCUACCGGGACGUGAUGCUGGACAACUUCAGCAGUGUGGCUGCUCUGGGUGAGCGCGGGCUGAGCGCUGCGUGAGCACAGGGUGAGUGCUGGGAGAGCUCUGCCGCUGCCUCUGGGCCCGGCUCGUCCAGGACAGUAGUGGGGCCUCCCAGCCGAGGGGGCUCAGGAGCUAGAAGUUAUUGGCUUAUGUAGACAGAGGGGCCCACUCAGCGUUUCUCUCGGGCUCCCUGGAGGCAGCCUCAUCUUCCUUCCUCUGACCUUGCCAGGGCCUUCCGUGGGCCUUGGUGUCCAGGCGCCUCCCUUCCUGUCAUCUCUGCUUCGGGGUGGCUUCUCCAGGGCCUCCCGAGGGCUGGCCUGGCGUCUUAGGCUGAUGCACAACUGCUCUGAGCCUCGAGCCUCACUUUGUCCUCAGUACAAGUAAAACGGAACCUUUUCUCUCCUUUGAGAAGGAUUUUGCAGCCCCAGACCGGACCUCGUCUCUCGCCUGGAACAGUGGGAGGAGCCGUGGGUUGAAGACCGGGAGAGACCUGAGCUCCAGGCAGUGCGGAGGGGACCCCGGCCAGGUGAGUGCUGGGCUGUCUGGGCUCAGCUGGCCCCGUCCCUGUGGCCCACAGCUCCUGGGUAGUGCUCAGCACGCUGCAGUGACCAAGGGUGUGUCCUUCCCACGGGAGAGCGGACACACAGCUGCUCUCUAAAUUAGACAGGCAUUAGAGACGUAGGGGCAGCCACGCUCCUGCCCUGAUGGACACUGGCCGGGGGCGGGGCUCGCAAGGCAUGGUGGUGCAGGAUGACAUACAGCUGCAGCUCGGGAGGGGCCUGAGGCUGGAGUGACACUUGAAGCCUGCACCUAGCCACCCAGGUGCUGUCCGGCGGAGGCCAUUGGUGUGGGUGUCUGACCUCCCUGUGAUGGCCACGUGGGGUCCCAGGCCUGGUACUGACUGCACGUGAGGGUCUCCAGGUAUAUGGCUCUGGGUAGGAGUUUGCUCCACGUCCUUGUUUGCAAAACUGGGACAGUGGCCGUGCUUCCCUCCAUUAGGUGAGGGGUGCUCUUGGGGCAGUGGUCAGAGGGGUUUUGCUUUUUACUUACAUUUUCAGAGUGGGAUGGAGCAGCUAUGUGAACACGAGCCCUGGGAGGUCCCCGGGUAUGUGGAGUCCCCGACUGUGGAGUGUCAGGUCCCUAGGGGCAAGGAAGUCUGCAGACCCCAAGAGACACUGUGAUCAUCCAGCUUGGGCUCACAAGAAAACCCACGUGCGGCGAGAAAGAGCCAGGGAAGGAAGCAGCUUUAGGAAGGGCUUCAGGCUGGACACGGAUGACGGGCAGCUUCCCAGAGCUGCUCCAGAAAGGACAGACGCCAAGCCCACGGCUUUCCCGUGUCAGGUGCUCACGCGGUGUUGUGGGCGGCGGCCGGGCCGCAGAGAGCGCCGGAAGCAGCGCGCAGUAGAGCUGUCGUUCAUCUGCGGCACGUGCGGGAAGGCGCUCAGCUGCCACAGCCGGCUGCUCGCUCACCAGACGGUGCACACGGGAACCAAGGCCUUCGAGUGCCCCGAGUGCGGCCAGACCUUCCGGUGGGCUUCAAACCUGCAGCGCCACCAGAAGAACCACACGCGCGAGAAGCCCUUCUGCUGCGAGGCCUGCGGGCAGGCGUUCAGCCUGAAGGACCGCCUGGCUCAGCACCGCAAGGUCCACACCGAGCACAGGCCCUACUCGUGUGGCGACUGUGGGAAAGCCUUCAAGCAGAAGUCCAACCUUCUCAGACACCAGCUGGUGCACACCGGGGAGCGGCCGUUCUACUGCGCGGACUGCGGCAAAGCCUUCCGGACCAAGGAGAACCUCAGCCACCACCAGAGGGUCCACAGCGGGGAGAAGCCCUACACCUGUGCCGAGUGCGGCAAGUCCUUCCGCUGGCCCAAGGGCUUCAGCAUCCACCGGAGGCUGCACCUGACGAAGAGAUUCUACCAGUGCGGCCACUGUGGGAAAGGCUUCCGUCACCUGGGGUUCUUCACGCGGCAUCAGAGGACUCACAGGCACGGGGAGGUGUAGGGGCGCCCGAAGCGUGGGGUGCUGCGCCUCUGCGGGAGUACUGGGCCCUGAGGGAGAGCUGCAGUGAGAAGUUGCUCUUCAGCCUGGAAAAUCAACCUGAAUUCAGAGAAGCCUUCUUAGUCCUCAGAGCUCCCCAGUCCCCUGAGAAGUUUACUGGGAAAACUGCUAGGUGGGAGAAGCAGAUCCAUGGGUACGCCGGAGAUGGCGGGGGCUCUGGAGAUGGCGGGGGCUGCGCCCCGGCGCCAGGCACCCUGGGGAUGUGCUGAGAGUGUGCGCGACCCCGGAGCCACAUGCCAGGCCGGGCUCAGAGGCGGAGAGGCCUGCCCGGUGCCCACAGCCGUCUGGCUCAGGGACUCCACCCUGGCCCCGAGUCGCCGUCUGCUGGGCCUUUCCUUCCUGGCUCUGCACCCCAUGCUGGCUGCCCGGUCUGGCUUCCCUUCUUGUCUCUGUCUUGGGCGAGGCAGCUGUGAGCAUUGCACAGAGGCAAAGACCCUCCUGCAGCCUCUGCGCUGGGCCGUAGAAACAAGAGCCUUUGUAAUACUGAACCUCAUUCAAGGAUUAGGAGUGGUGGUUAGGUCAGGGCCACCCCCAAUGCUGCAGGAACGGCCUCCACCCAGCUCUGUUGGUCAGAGCCUGGGUCAUGCACCUGGAAUUGGGAGAUCAAGUUGGGUCUCAGGGCAGUGAGGUGGCCAUAUCCACCACAGCACAUUUCGUGGGGAAGAGAUGACCUCUUUGUUUUAAACUUAAGGUGUCUGCUUAUCCAGCCAGAAAUAAAAAUCUGCCAGUGGUGUUCCCAAGAGAAGACCCCCGUGGGAAUGGAUCGGGACACUGCCGUGUUUCAGGUUAGCCAAUU
rnacentral:sRNA from 1 species